rnacentral:rRNA from 1 species
GACGAACGCUGGCGGCGUGCCUAAUACAUGCAAGUCGAGCGCAGGAAACUGACGGAACUCUUCGGAGGGAAGGCAGUGGAAUGAGCGGCGGACGGGUGAGUAACACGUAAGGAACCUGCCUCAAGGAUUGGGAUAACUCCGAGAAAUCGGAGCUAAUACCGGAUAGUUCAUCGGACCGCAUGGUCCGUUGAUGAAAGGCGCUCCGGCGUCACCUUGAGAUGGCCUUGCGGUGCAUUAGCUAGUUGGUGGGGUAACGGCCCACAAAGGCGACGAGGCAUAGCCGACCUGAGAGGGUGAUCGGCCACACUGGGACUGAGACACGGCCCAGACUCCUACGGGAGGCAGCAGUAGGGAAUCUUCCACAAUGGACGAAAGUCUGAUGGAGCAAAGCCGCGUGAGUGAUGAAGGUUUUCGGAUCGUAAAACUCUGUUGUAAGGGAAGAACACGUACGAGAGGGAAUGCUCGUACCUUGACGGUACCUUACGAGAAAGCCACGGCUAACUACGUGCCAGCCGCCGCAGUAA